rnacentral:rRNA from 1 species
GUGUCAGCCGCCGCGGUAAUACGAAAGGGGCUAGCGUUGUUCGGAAUUACUGGGCGUAAGGCGCGCGUAGGCGGCCUUGCAAGUUGGGGGUGAAAUCCCGGAGCUCAACUCCGGAACUGCCUUCAAAACUGCAAAGCUAGAGGAUGCGAGAGGUGAGCGGAAUUCCGAGUGUAGAGGUGAAAUUCGUAGAUAUUCGGAAGAACACCAGUGGCGAAGGCGGCUCACUGGCGCAUUUCUGACGCUGAGGCGCGAAAGCGUGGGGAGCAAACAGGAUUAGAUACCCUGGUAGUCCACGCCGUAAACGAUGAGGGCUAGUUGUCGGGCGGCUUGCCGUUCGGUGACGCAGCUAACGCAUUAAGCCCUCCGCCUGGGGAGUACGGUCGCAAGAUUAAAACUCAAAUGAAUUGGCGGGG